AGUGAACGCUGGCGGUAGGCCUAACACAUGCAAGUCGAACGGCAGCACAGUAAGAGCUUGCUCUUACGGGUGGCGAGUGGCGGACGGGUGAGGAAUACAUCGGAAUCUACUUUUUCGUGGGGGAUAACGUAGGGAAACUUACGCUAAUACCGCAUACGACCUACGGGUGAAAGCAUGGGAUCUUCGGACCUUGCGCGAUUGAAUGAGCCGAUGUCGGAUUAGCUAGUUGGCGGGGUAAAGGCCCACCAAGGCGACGAUCCGUAGCUGGUCUGAGAGGAUGAUCAGCCACACUGGAACUGAGACACGGUCCAGACUCCUACGGGAGGCAGCAGUGGGGAAUAUUGGACAAUGGGCGCAAGCCUGAUCCAGCCAUACCGCGUGGGUGAAGAAGGCCUUCGGGUUGUAAAGCCCUUUUGUUGGGAAAGAAAAGCAGCAGGUUAAUACCCCGCUGUUCUGACGGUACCCAAAGAAUAAGCACCGGCUAACUUCGU
rnacentral:rRNA from 1 species